UAAUUUGUUUGGGGCAGAUGCUCAUCUAGUUAUGACAGACUCACACUUGGCAGCCUAGAAUCACCCGUUGUCGCAAACUCAAUCAUAUCAACAAUUAGAUUUAAAGUUAUGGCACUUAUGAGCUAUUA
rfam:Populus trichocarpa isolate Nisqually-1 chromosome 2, whole genome shotgun sequence.